GAAAAGGCAAGAGGGCAAAGAAAAGGAGGCCUUUUCUGGAGGAGGACGACGACGUGGAACAGUCAGAGGAGAGACCAAGCAAAAAAUCACGGCUGGAGUCAUCAGACAUUAUCAAAAAAUAUAAGGAUCUUCAGAAGGCCCAAGAGGUGAACGAAAAGAG